rnacentral:lncRNA from 1 species
AGGGCAUCUCCCUUUACUAGUUUCAGGAUGAAGUGAGAAGAUAACUUAUUAAUUGUGGAGUAAAUACAACAGAUGCAAUAUGAAGAACUGUAUGGUAACACUGUCUAAGAAAACAGGAGCACCUACCCAUUGCCGCUUCUGGUCAGAACAAUGUAUAAGCAGUGAAUUAAGGGGCAGGAGCUGCAGCCAGAAAACCCAGGAAGGAGUGCUCUUUUAUGGACAAGUGGGCAAGACUAGUGGAGGACAUGCCAUGAUUACACCAAAGACAGGACAAGAUCUUAGUUUGCAAAAACAUUUCAGAGCUGCACCACUACAAAUGAGAUUUAUGGUCAAUCUAGUCAAAUGGGACAGAAGUUCUAGCACAACAUUCAGGCUCCUGCAUGGUUGUAGCUGUUACUUGGUGUAUAUAGUCUUUCCUGUGAUCCCUUAAAUGUUCCAUAUUGUAGAAGGUCUAAAACAUUUUCUGGAAUGUCAGUAGAACUCCAGGUUCAGUCCGAGUUUGAACUGAAAGUUUAGGUAGGCUUUUAUUUUAUCCAAACCAUUUCAACAUUUCUUAGCUAAACUGAUCAAUCCUUGAACACUCUGUUUUUAGGAUUGCCAUCAGCCCUGUCUCUCUCUUCAUUCAGUCCUUCAAUUCUGGCAUUUGUAGAACUUAAAUAAAGGACACAUUUAGCUGCUUACA